rnacentral:misc_RNA from 1 species
GUCAAUAUUCACACAUAAUAAUAUCUAUUGAUACAUUGAAUUGCAUGUCUGAAUUGCUGUAGGGCAAACACAUUGUUAUUAAAUUCUAAAUUUGACUUAUAGAAUCCAUGAGUAUCAACCAGUUGGUAACUUAAAGAUUCCCAGUUUUGCAAAAUUAUACUCGACCCUCAUUAGGAUCAUCAAAUCGUUAAACUUGCACUUUCCAUUUUUACUUGAAACAGUUUUGAGUACAAUGAAUGCCUUUUCUUCUUAAGUCGUGUAUAUAAGUCUUUGCCUUGCAGUCUCUGGGAAAAAUGCUGGCAUGAUGAAUUUGACAGCCAUUAAGUUCAUCACAUAUAUUAGUUCCAACAAGUAGUAGGACUAAACAACAUGCUCUCAUAAUCUAGGCUAUUACAGGACUGCAAUUGGAUAAUAUAUUAUGUAAUGGUAAGGUUCAUCUGCCACCUCACAUUCACAUCCUUGAACCGCGAUUGCUAUUUCACCAGAGGGCUAAGGGCUACUCUAAGUGCUAUCAGUUUUUAGUGUAUGGAUUAAUAAGCUUUUUGGGUUGCUGAUAUUGG